rnacentral:rRNA from 1 species
CCAGCACGGUAAUGGUGGGCGACUCUAAGGAGACUGCCGGUGACAAACCGGAGGAAGGUGGGGAUGACGUCAAGUCAUCAUGGCCCUUACGGCCAGGGCUACACACGUGCUACAAUGGUCGGUACAAAGGGUUGCCAAACCGCGAGGUGGAGCUAAUCCCAUAAAACCGAUCGUAGUCCGGAUCGCAGUCUGCAACUCGACUGCGUGAAGUCGGAAUCGCUAGUAAUCGUGAAUCAGAAUGUCACGGUGAAUACGUUCCCGGGCCUU